rnacentral:lncRNA from 12 species
GCUGCCCCCCAAGGGCCUUGAUCUCACCCGCCUGAGCUCCUGACCCCAGCUCACAACAAUAGUCAGACGUUUCCCGGACGGCGUCACCGCCCUUCUUGACCAUCAUUCCUCUUUUCUUUGGGCGCAGGAACCACUCUAGGUCCUCGGAGUGAACCUUCUGGGACAGGUGUUGGCAGGAGUCCGGUUGCCACGACCCUGGAAGCUGGCAGCGUGGGCAGGACCGCAGGGGGCCCCGGCUUCACCAGUCCUGUGCCCAUAGCAGGAACUCCAGAACGUUCCGGGGGCUUCAUAGAAGUACCUGGUAGUGGGAGCACACUUGGAAACCCCAGCACGGCAGGGACGACCUUGCGGUUCAGAGGAGGUGUUGGCGGGAGUCCGGUGGCCACGACCCUGGAAGCUGGCAGCGUGGGCAGGACCGCAGGGGGCCCUGGCUUCACCAGUCCUGGGCACCUAGCAGUGACCUCAGAAGGUUCAGAGUCCUUCAGAAAAGCAUCGGGGUUUGAGGACACAAGUGGUGUCCCAACUGCUCCAAGUUCAUCCUUGGGCGUCAGACAAGUAAGUACAUCUGAAACAUCUGGUGGUGUAACCAGUGGAGAUGAAAAUAAACCUGCAUCACCCAGCAGCAGUACUACAAGCUCUUCAGAUAAACCAGGUGAGAUUAGCUAAACACAAAAAGUCACAAAUAUCAGAUAUUUAUUUAGUUGGACAUCCUUCCUGCUUAAA